GACGAACGCUGGCGGCGUGCCUAAUACAUGCAAGUCGAGCGAAGUUUUUCUGGUGCUUGCACUAGAAAAACUUAGCGGCGAACGGGUGAGUAACACGUAAAGAACCUGCCUCAUAGACUGGGACAACUAUUGGAAACGAUAGCUACUACCGGAUAACAGUAUUUCUCGCAUGAGAGAUAUUUAAAAGUUGGUUAUGCUAACACUAUGAGAUGGCUUUGCGGUGCAUUAGCUAGUUGGUGGGGUAAAGGCCCACCAAGGCGACGAUGCAUAGCCGACCUGAGAGGGUGAUCGGCCACACGGGGACUGAGACACGGCCCAGACUCCUACGGGAGGCAGCAGUAGGGAAUCUUCCGCAAUGGGCGAAAGCCUGACGGAGCAACGCCGCGUGAGUGAAGAAGGAUUUCGGUUCGGAAAGCUCUGUUGUUAGGGAAGAAUGGAUAUGUAGUAACUAUACAUGUAAGAGACGGUACCUAACCAGAAAGCCACGGCUAACUACGUG
rnacentral:rRNA from 1 species